rnacentral:lncRNA from 1 species
GUUUCUUUUUCAUUAUUUAUUAUGUCACCCGAUCGACAAUGUCGGGUGACAUAUUGCUUUUCCUCUGUUUCUUUUUCCCUAUUAUUAUUAUUAUUUUUCUUCCACCUAAUUUUGUCCGGCAGCUUUCUCAGAGCCAAAGGAACCAAUCUGAAUGAUGGUGCACUAUAACAAGGAACCCUGACUUUCCAGUUGCAGUGCAACUUUGGAACUAAAAAAUGGCUGCCAUCACCAUGGAAA